rnacentral:rRNA from 1 species
UACGAAGGGGGCUAGCGUUGCUCGGAAUCACUGGGCGUAAAGCGCACGUAGGCGGCUUCUCAAGUCAGGGGUGAAAUCCUGGAGCUCAACUCCAGAACUGCCUUUGAUACUGAAGAUCUUGAGUUCGGGAGAGGUGAGUGGAACUGCGAGUGUAGAGGUGAAAUUCGUAGAUAUUCGCAAGAACACCAGUGGCGAAGGCGGCUCACUGGCCCGAUACUGACGCUGAGGCACGAAAGCGUGGGGCGCAAACAUG